rnacentral:rRNA from 1 species
UACGAAGGGUGCAAGCGUUAAUCGGAAUUACUGGGCGUAAAGCGUGCGCAGGCGGUUGUGCAAGACAGAUGUGAAAUCCCCGGGCUCAACCUGGGAACUGCAUUUGUGACUGCACGGCUGGAGUGCGGCAGAGGGGGAUGGAAUUCCGCGUGUAGCAGUGAAAUGCGUAGAUAUCAGGAGGAACACCGGUGGCGAAGGCGCUCAUCUGGCCCAAUACUGACGCUGAGGCGCGAAAGCUAGGGUAGCGAACGGG